AGUUCCGACCUGCACGAAUGGCGUAACGAUGGCCAUACUGUCUCCAACCGAGACUCAGUGAAAUUGAAAUUGCAGUGAAGAUGCUGUGUACCCGCACCUAGACGGAAAGACCCCGUGAACCUUUACUACAGCUUGGCACUGAACAUUGAACCUACAUGUGUAGGAUAGGUGGGAGACUUUGAAGCAGCGACGCUAGUUGUUGUGGAGUCGUCCUUGAAAUACCACCCUUGUAGUUUUGAUGUUCUAACGUUGGCCCCUGAAUCGGGGUUACGGACAGUGCCUGGUGGGUAGUUUGACUGGGGCGGUCUCCUCCCAAAGAGUAACGGAGGAGCACGAAGGUUGGCUAAGUA
rnacentral:rRNA from 1 species